rnacentral:lncRNA from 1 species
AAUGUURUGGGUGGGUCGGAAUCCCCUUUUCUUGCCGGCAGAGCUGUUCUGCGGGUCUGGGCAGGUGGCAGCGCCCGGCAGGGCAGGGCGGCGAAUGCCAGGGGGCCAGCGGAGCCCGGGGCCGGCAGCAGCUUGUGACCGUUUCCMCCUCUUUCCCCCGCAGCGUUUCCUCAGGGAGCUCAAAAACUCCACCGACUGCUGGUUGGGGCUGCGCAGGCAGGACGGGCGCCUGGUGUUCCCGGUUCACGGCCAAGGAGCCUGCGCCUACAUGAAUGACGUCAUCGCCAGUUCCAGCUGCUCCCAGCUCAGGCCUUAUAUCUGCAGCGUGGCGCUGGCUCCGCUCUGACCGCGGUGGGAACGCCGCCUUCGGAGCAGGCAGGCUGCCCCGGCACAACUGCCCUCCGCUACCUCCCUUCAUGUGCCUGCUGUGCUGGAGCCGGAGCAGCCCUUAGGGAUCAGCACGGAAAGCCCAUGAGGACAACGAGUAGCUUUGCACCCGUGGACGUGGGUGUCAUGGACAUUUUUGGAUGCUGUAACACCGAGGGGCCCUGUAAAACAGGGAGGUCUCCGGUUGGCGAAACACUGACACGUUGGAAGCCUUAAUGUUUUUCUGCUUGUGCUGCUUGGACUGAAACCUUUUGUUCUCACUCGCUCAGGGCAGGUGCUCUGUAAGGUGCCGCUCGGCCUCGGUGCUCUGUUCCCGUCUUCCACAACUCAAUCACUACAUGGAGGAAGCACCGUGCGGGCGUCCCCUUCUUGCCGCCUGGGAAUCGUGGCCGUGGCGACACCGAAAUGGGACCCGGGGCCUCCUUUUGUGACAGUAUUAUUUUUUCUGGAGCUGCUGGAGUGAACGGCGCUGUGGCUGCUCACGGCAUUGGGAACCGAGGCGAGCGCGCUCCGGUCUUCUGGUGCUUCCGUGGCCUCCUGCAGCCGCCAGCCGACCGCGGGGAGCAGGAGAGCACGGGUGCCGUUCUAUGCUAUACACUAAAUGUAGCUUCAUAUUCCAUAUUUAUAAAUUCAUAAAUAAACAGUUAAUAUUUUUCCUGGCGUUUUGUUUG